rnacentral:rRNA from 1 species
UACGUAGGCAGCGAGCGUUGUUCGGAAUUACUGGGCGUAAAGGGUGCGUAGGCGGUGCCUCAAGUUUGGUGUGAAAUCUCCCGGCUCAACCGGGAGGGUGCGCCGAAAACUGAGGUGCUCGAGUGUGGGAGAGGUAAGCGGAAUUCCUGGUGUAGCGGUGAAAUGCGUAGAUAUCAGGAGGAACACCGGCGGUGUAGACGGCUUACUGGACCAUAACUGACGCUGAGGCACGAAAGCUAGGGGAGCGAACGGG